rnacentral:ncRNA from 1 species
GACAGAUUGAGAGCUCUUUCUUGAUUCUGUGGGUGGUGGUGCAUGGCCGUUCUUAGUUGGUGGAGCGAUUUGUCUGGUUAAUUCCGAUAACGAACGAGACUCUGGCUUGCUAAAUAGUUACGCGACCCUGGUGCUCGCUCGGCGACUUGUCCUUGUUGGCACGGCGACCCGGAUCGAGGUCGGCGACGAUCGAAUCGAAAAAAGUUGAAGGCUCUUGGCGGUGGAUCACUCGGCUCGUGAGUCGAUGAAGGACGCAGCUAGCUGCGUGAUUUAGUGUGAAUUGCAGG